rnacentral:tRNA from 1 species
CGGGAUGUAGCGCAGUUGGUAGCGCGCAGCGUUCGGGACGCUGAGGCCCCCGGUUCGAAUCCGAGCAUCCCGA